AUCUUGAAUCCUUAUAAAAAAGGGAUCAAAAUCAGGAGAAAAGUUGUUGUGCUUUGAGAUACCUAAGAUGAAUACUCACUUAAUACAAAAAGAAGAGUAUCAUGAAAAUCACGCUUGUAGUUGUUUUGGUGGAGGGACUGAUUCUAGAGCUUCGUACUCAGUCAUCAUCCAUGAUACCACUCCCUGCUGUGUUCAUUUUUAAAAGUGUUCCUGUUCGGACAAAAAGUUUUAUGGUCACCCAUCGAAAGCUGAAUACAUGAUGUUACUGCAGCAUUUUGUCAAUGCCAGCUCAAGGAGCAAGAUCCUGGGAUUGAAAAUCAAACUAGGGGCUCCAAAUGGUGAGAACGACCACUGCAUUUUGAUUAUUGAGUUUGAACAUAUUUAUAAUCAUAUGGAGGUGCUUUUUUGAACAUGGAUUAAUAUGUAUUUACUCAUUCUGGAAAUUUACUAGACUUCACCCGAUUUCUAGAGUCCCCAUUAAAGUUUUUGGUAACUACUUGGAAAAGAAUAAUAGAGUACCUUUGGAAAAAAUGCUUUCCAUGAGAGAUCUUACAU